rnacentral:rRNA from 1 species
UACGUAGGGGGCAAGCGUUGUCCGGAUUUAUUGGGCGUAAAGAGCGUGUAGGCGGCCAGGGAGGUCCGGUGUGAAAACUCGAGGCUCAACCUCGAGACGCCGAUGGAAACCCCCUGGCUAGAGUCCGGAAGAGGAGAAUGGAAUUCCUGGUGUAGCGGUGAAAUGCGCAGAUAUCAGGAAGAACACCCGUGGCUAAGGCGGUUCUCUAGUACGGUACUGACGCUGAGACGCGAAAGCGUGGGGAGCAAACAGG